rnacentral:rRNA from 1 species
AUUGAACGCUGGCGGAAUGCUUUACACAUGCAAGUCGAGCGGCAGCGCGGGGCAACCUGGCGGCGAGCGGCGAACGGGUGAGUAACACAUCGGAACGUGCCCAGACGUGGGGGAUAGCCCGGCGAAAGCCGGAUUAAUACCGCAUACGAUCUAAGGAUGAAAGCGGGGGACGUCGCAAGGGCCUCGCGCGUUUGGAGCGGCCGAUGGCAGAUUAGGUAGUUGGUGGGGUAAAGGCUUACCAAGCCUGCGAUCUGUAGCUGGUCUGAGAGGAUGAUCAGCCACACUGGGACUGAGACACGGCCCAGACUCCUACGGGAGGCAGCAGUGGGGAAUUUUGGACAAUGGGCGCAAGCCUGAUCCAGCCAUUCCGCGUGCAGGACGAAGGCCUUCGGUGUAAACUGCUUUGUACGGAACGAAAGGUACUUCUCUAAUACAGAGGGCCCGAUGACGGUACCGUAAGAAUAAGACACCGGCUAACUACGUGCC